UACAGAGGUCGCGAGCGUUGUUCGGAUUCAUUGGGCGUAAAGGGUGCGUAGGUGGCGCUGUAAGUCGGGUGUGAAAUCCUGAGGCUUAACCUCGGAACUGCAUUCGAUACUGCGGGGCUUGAGGACUGGAGAGGAGACUGGAAUUCAUGGUGUAGCAGUGAAAUGCGUAGAGAUCAUGAGGAAGACCAGUGGCGAAGGCGGGUCUCUGGACAGUUCCUGACACUGAGGCACGAAGGCCAGGGGAGCAAACGGG
rnacentral:rRNA from 1 species